CCAAUCGAACCCGGAGAUAGCUGGUUCUCCUCGAAAUAGCUUUAGGGCUAGCCUCAUGGAUCAUUGGUGGGGGUAGAGCACUGAAUGUGCGCGGGGGCCACAAAGCCUACCAAACGCUAUCAAACUACGAAUACCAUACAAUGCAGACCAUGGGAGUCAGUCCGCGAGAGAUAAGUUCCGCGGGCAAAAGGGGAACACCCCAGAUCAACCGCUAAGGUCCCCAAGUUCACGUUAAGUGGAGAAGGAUGUGGAAUUGCACAGACAACCAGGAUGUUGGCUCAGAAGCAGCCACACAUUUAAAGAGUGCGUAAUAGCUCACUGGUCGAGUGAUUGUGCGCCGAAGAUGUCCGGGGCUAAACGUGACACCGAAGCGAUGGGUGCAUCUGAAGAAGAUGCGCGGUAGAGGAGCAAUGUGCAGAGGCAGAAGCCGUAUCGAGAGGCACGGUGGACACUGCACAAGAGAGAAUGCCGGUAUGAGUAGCGAGAGGCAUGCGAGAAACAUGCCCGUCGAAAGCCCAAGGUUUCCUGGGGAAGGUUCAUCCGCCCAGGGUAAGUCGGGGCCUAAGCCGAGGACGGAAGUCGUAGGCGAUGGACAGCAGGUGUAGAUUCCUGCACUACCGAUGGAAUGAAGCAGUGACACAGAAGGAUAACUCGAGCAGGGUGAUGGUCAACCCUGUGCAAGCAUCAAGGUUGGGUUGUAGUGAAGUACGCAAUCCUAUAAGCUGAGGUGUGAUGCGGACCGAAAUUUCAGUAGGGAAGCGAGUGAGUUCACGCUGGCGAGAAAAGCUGCUAGUACAUCCAAAGGUACCCGUACCGGAAACCGACGCAGGUGGGCGAGGAGAGAAUCCUGAGACGAACGGGAGAACCCUUGUUAAGGAACUCGGCAAAAUGACCCCGUAACUUCGGGAUAAGGGGUGCCUGCGAGAGCAGGCCGCAGAGAAUAGUCACAAGCGACUGUUUAGCAAAAACACAGGUAUCUGCGAAAGCGAGAGCUGACGUAUAGGUGCUGACACCUGCCCGGUGCUGGAAGGUUAAGGGAACAUGUUAGAGCAAUCGAAGCAUCGAACCGAAGCCCCAGUAAACGGCGGCCGUAACUAUAACGGUCCUAAGGUAGCGAAAUUCCUUGUCGGGUAAGUUCCGACCCGCACGAAUGGUGUAACGACUUGUGAGCUGUCUCAACAGGGGGCCCGGUGAAAUUGAAGUAUGGGUGAAGAUGCCCAUUACCCGCGACUGGACGGAGAGACCCCGUAGAGCUUUACUGCAGCCUGAUAUUGAGUUUCGGUAACUGAUGCACAGGAUAGGUGGGAGUCUGAGAGACAUGGGUUUCGGCUCAUGUGGAGACGGUGUUGGGAUACCACUCUUCGGUUACUGAAAUUCUAACAUAGCUCUGUGAAACCAGAGGAUGGACAGUGUCAGGUGGACAGUUUGACUGGGGCGGUCGCCUCCGAAAGAGUAACGGAGGCGCCCAAAGGUACCCUCAGAAUGGAUGGAAACCAUUCGAAGAGCGCAAAGGCAGAAGGGUGCCUGACUGCGAGAGUGACAACUCGAGCAGAGACGAAAGUCGGGCUUAGUGAUCCGGCGGUAUUGAGUGGAAAAGCCGUCGCUUAACGGAUAAAAGCUACCUCGGGGAUAACAGGCUGAUCUCCCCCAAGAGUCCACAUCGACGGGGAGGUUUGGCACCUCGAUGUCGGCUCAUCGCAUCCUGGGGCUGUAUUCGGUCCCAAGGGUUUGGCUGUUCGCCAAUUAAAGCGGCACGCGAGCUGGGUUCAGAACGUCGUGAGACAGUUCGGUCCCUAUCCAUCGUGGGCGUAGGAGUCAUGAGAGGAGCUGUUCCUAGUACGAGAGGACCGGAAUGGACGCACCACUGGUGCAACUGUUGUCGUGCCAACGGCAUAGCAGGGAAGCGAAGUGCGGAUGGGAUAAACGCUGAAGGCAUCUAAGCGUGAAGCCCACCUCAAGAAUAAGACUCCACAAUAGACCCCUGGAGGACUACCAGGUAGAUAGGUCAUCGGUGGAAGCGCUGUAAGGCGUGUAGCUUGAUGAUACUAAUCGGUCGAAAGCUUCAUUUA
rnacentral:rRNA from 1 species